AGCAGCCGCGGUAAUUCCAGCUCCAAUAGCGUAUAUUAAAGUUGUUGCAGUUAAAAAGCUCGUAGUUGAAUUUCGGGGUCAAUAAGUUGGUCGUGCCAAUGGUAUGUACUGGCUUUAUUGAUUCCUACCUCUUGACGAACUGUGAUGCCAUUAAUUUGGUGUUGCAGGAAAUCAGGACUGUUACCUUGAAAAAUUAGAGUGUUUAAAGCAGGCUUACGCUUGAAUACAUUAGCAUGGAAUAAUGAAAUAGGACGUUUGAACCUAUUUUGUUGGUUUCUAGGAUCGACGUAAUGAUUAAUAGGGAUAGUUGGGGGCAUUAGUAUUCAAUUGUCAGAGGUGAAAUUCUUGGAUUUAUUGAAGACUAACUACUGCGAAAGCAUUGCCAAGGAUGUUUUCAUUAAUCAAGAACGAAAGUUAGGGGAUCGAAGACGAUCAGAUACCGUCGUAGUCUUAACCAUA
rnacentral:rRNA from 1 species